AACCAUUAGGACGCCCUUCCACGGACGUCGUAUGCCCUGCAUAACACAUGGAAAGCAUUAGGGAACAAUUGAUAAACAGAGUUUAUGGCGAUUAAAGCUGGCCUUAUAAGUUAGUACCCGACUAUGAUUUGACCUGUAACCAACUACAAGCGGCACGUAAUAUUCCUAAGUACAUAUACAAAAUCGGAAAAGCAACGAAAGUAUUCGGAGAUUAGUGUUAAGAUGUGUCUAUGCGGACGGACGGAUAGACGGACACGUGGUAGGAGAUGUCUGUUCCAUAAAUUCGCUCUUAACCAUAAUACCCUUCGUUUCCCUUGCCCACAGGGUAUAACAAAUAGGCUUGCCGAUGAUUCAGCCAAGCGCAGGUGACAUGAUGACGCACCUUGAAAUAGUCGGGCAUCAGCAUAGGCAAUACAACGGCCUCUUCCAGCAGUCGCUUGGCAUCGUGCAGAUCAGCAAUAUCGCUCCAGCGCACCUUGGGAUCUUUUUGGAGAAUAUCACGUUCUGAGCAGGAUGCGAAAAAAUUUAUUAGCCGGGUCAAUUAAGCAGCCGAAGAGCUCUUUACUUACCCAAUAUGUCGACCAGCUCUGCUUCGAUGUGAUUGUUGGGUUGAAAUUUGCGUUCCUCCUCGACUGCCUGUUGCUCGCCCGCAUCGCCAUCGGCUGUGGCACCAUUGGUGACCGCUGCGGUCACGUCAUCAUCUUUGCUGUCGUUGUUGUUGUUGUUGUUGCUGGCGCUGUUUAAGGUGGACAAUUUACGUCCAGUCACGCGGCCAUUGACGCCGCCACGUGCACUGUUCAGUGUGGAGCCCAAUGGACGACUAUUGCGCGCAGUUCCAGCUCCAUUACGGGCAGUGCUUUGUGGGAUUGUGCUGGGCCGGCCGCUGCUCUGCGUGCCGGCUGCUGUUGUACGGCGGCUAUUUGCUGCUGUUGCCCGCCGACCCACCGUCUGUACGGUCGGCGAUGGUUUGGGCGGGCCCCAUACAUCUGGAUCUUUCGGUGGCGGCGUCCAUAUGUCAGGAUCGGGCUUAAACCAUGCAGCAGGAUCUUUAUUCACAUUGCUAUCUUCGCUUAGCUGCGAGCGCAGCUUAUGAGCAAAUUUCGUAUUUUGCAAAUCCAACGAAAUGUCCUGCAGUGUGCGUUGUAUGGCCUUCACUUUCGCAUGCUCCUGAUUGAUUUGCUGAUUGAUCUGUGAUGCGAACCAUGGCAACUUUUAAUCUCACAGAAAUAACUUCAGUACUAAUCACUCACCAUGCUCCACUUGCCCUUGCGCAUGGGAUCUACAGUGCUAUUAAGCAGGCGCGCCAGCAUGCCCUAAAAUAAAGAGGAUUAGCAAUUGA